rnacentral:rRNA from 1 species
GACGAACGCUGGCGGCGUGCUUAACACAUGCAAGUCGAACGGAAAGGCCCUGCUUUUGUGGGGUGCUCGAGUGGCGAACGGGUGAGUAACACGUGAGUAACCUGCCCUUGACUUUGUGAUAACUUCAGGAAACUGGGGCUAAUACCGGAUAGGAGCUCCUGCUGCAUGGUGGGGGUUGGAAAGUUUCGGCGGUUGGGGAUGGACUCGAGGCUUAUCAGCUUGUUGGUGGGGUAGUGGCUUACCAAGGGUUUGACGGGUAGCCGGCCUGAGAGGGUGACCGGCCACAUUGGGACUGCGAUACGGCCCAGACGCCUACGGGAGGCAGAAGUGGGGAAUAUUGCACAAUGGGCGGAAGCCUGAUGCAGCAACGCCGCGUGCGGGAUGACGGCCUUCGGGUUGUAAACCGCUUUCGCCUGUGACGAAGCGUGAGUGACGGUAAUGGGUAAAGAAGCACCGGCUAACUACGUG